rnacentral:lncRNA from 10 species
AAACAAGCUUGUAUAUGGGCACGGCUGCUGCUGCUGCUGCUGAUGGUUGAUGGCCGUUGUUGAUUUUCAGAGAAAGAAAAGUGGAUUCUGAAAUGGAUGUCUCUAGUGGAUAAAGUAAAGACAGUGUCUUUGCAUUCUCUGCACCAGCGCAGCACCAAGCACCACAAAGGGGCCUGGUUAACGUUUGCAUGGAGAACUGAGGAGGGUUCCAGCAUGGAGGUUCAAAGAAAUUCAGAGCAAGGAGCAGAUGAUAGUCCUCUCUCAUGUUUCCGGUUGCUAACAGUGGAGAGGAACCUCACUGCUCCCCAGUGACCUGCGAAGCCUCAGCUGAGAUUCCAAGCCUCCACACUUCCUUUCCUCAUUGUUUUCAUUCCCAUUAAAAAGGAACACCAAAGAUUUGCAUCACAGCCU